rnacentral:rRNA from 1 species
AUUGAACGCUGGCGGCAGGCCUAACACAUGCAAGUCGAGCGGAUGAGUGGAGCUUGCUCCAUGAUUCAGCGGCGGACGGGUGGGUAAUGCCUAGGAAUCUGCCUGGUAGUGGGGGACAACGUUUCGAAAGGAACGCUAAUACCGCAUACGUCCUACGGGAGAAAGUGGGGGAUCUCCUGACCUCACGCUAUCAGAUGAGCCUAGGUCGGAUUAGCUAGUUGGUGAGGUAAAGGCUCACCAAGGCGACGAUCCGUAACUGGUCUGAGAGGAUGAUCAGUCACACUGGAGCUGAGACACGGUCCAGACUCCUACGGGAGGCAGCAGUGGGGAAUAUUGGACAAUGGGCGAAAGCCUGAUCCAGCCAUGCCGCGUGUGUGAAGAAGGUCUUCGGAUUGUAAAGCACUUUAAGUUGGGAGGAAGGGCAGUAAGUUAAUACCUUGCUGUUUUGACGUUACCAACAGAAUAAGCACCGGCUAACUUCGUGCCAGCAGCCGCCGUAACAC